GACGAACGCUGGCGGCGUGCUUAGCACAUGCAAGUCGAACGGAAAGGCCCUGCUUUUGUGGGGUGCUCGAGUGGCGAACGGGUGAGUAACACGUGAGUAACCUGCCCUUGACUUUGGGAUAACUUCAGGAAACUGGGGCUAAUACCGGAUAGGAGCUCCUGCUGCAUGGUGGGGGUUGGAAAGUUUCGGCGGUUGGGGAUGGACUCGCGGCUUAUCAGCUUGUUGGUGGGGUAGUGGCUUACCAAGGCUUUGACGGGUAGCCGGCCUGAGAGGGUGACCGGCCACAUUGGGACUGAGAUACGGCCCAGACUCCUACGGGAGGCAGCAGUGGGGAAUAUUGCACAAUGGGCGGAAGCCUGAUGCAGCAACGCCGCGUGCGGGAUGACGGCCUUCGGGUUGUAAACCGCUUUCGCCUGUGACGAAGCGUGAGUGGCGGUAAUGGGUAAAGAAGCACCGGCUAACUACGUG
rnacentral:rRNA from 1 species